GACUUGGGUCUUCAUCGAGCAAAUCUUAGCCUCUUCUUUAGCUCUUCUUGGUUGUGUUGCUGCUGGUAGAAGAAAGGAGUUAGGCAUGGCUUCGUCCGACCCUGAUCCGAUGCCGAAGAAGAAGAUGCCCGCGAUGCUGGAAGAAGGGGUUGAAUUUCCUAGGUGCCGGUGCGGCGAUCUUUGCAAGGCAAAAACCGCGGAUGAUCCCUUCUCGUACACUAAAGGUCGGCGAUUUUUCAUGUGUGCAAAUUAUGCUCAUGAUCCGGCCCCACAACGUAACGUUCUCCUCCGCCCCUCUGUUCGUAUUACGAGUGGAUCGACCAUGAGCAGCCAGCGUGGGCGAAAUAUGACAUUGAGUACGACCACAAAGUAGUAUGGGAAAAAUUCCAUGCUGCGACACGUCGUGAAGAGGCGGCGGAGAAGAUGAAGCGCUGGCAAGAGGAGCAACGCCAGAAGAAAGAGGAAAAGGAACAUGAAGAGAAGGAGCUUCGCGAGGCGGAGAGAGAGAGGAAGAGAGAGAGAGGGCGCGACGUGCGCAGGAAGACGCUGCAGAUGGUAAGGGAAAGGGAAAAUGGCCACGCUGGACUCAGUAGAAUCCCACAAUGUAUCGUAGUUUCAGUUGCACUGUAUCUUAAUUUCAGCACUGUAUCUUAAGUUCGGCACCGUAUCUUAAUUUCGGCACCGUAUCUUAAUUCCGGUAUUUGUUGUAAUAUCCCGUAUUGUUUUUAAUCCCUAUCUCUGUUGUAAUAUCCCUUGAUGUUUUGUAAUCGAAGUUAUCCUAUCUUCCAGCAAAUUAAAUAAUCAAGUCAUUUAUAAA